GGACACGUGACCAGGCUCAUUUGCAUCUGGACAGGUAGGCAGGUGAGCGUGGGAGAAAGUAGUUUCAGUUAUUCCGCGAACACAUCGGCCCCUGACUGGAUUAUGAGUCGGUUUCCCGGAGCAUCUCGCUUGGAACCAGGAGUCACCACAGGGCCCGUCGGUCAUCUCACCUGGACGCUCAAUAACCGGCAGAUGCGCCACUGUUAUUUGUAUCUAACUAAUACUGUGUUGGUCCAGAUGUAAGAACACAGGCUUCACAAUCCUGAUCGAUACUUUAAAUUCCUCAGGGAGCUGUCUGUCACCAUGGCGAUGCAGGUGUUAAUCCCACCUACAGUGUCGGUGUUUGUGUUCGCCGUGCUGUCUCUGCUCAGCUUGGCUCUGCUGCUGCUGCUGUGUGUAAUCAGGAAGAAAAGAAGGCUGGAGGGAACAUACAGGCCCAGUGCAGAGGAGAAAAAACAGACAGGAGCAGGAUCUGAAAAACCUGGCCUGCCUCUACCGUUGCCCAAAGAAGAACGCCUGAUAUGAUGAACGAUUUUAUAUAUAUAUAUAUAUAUAUAUAUAUAUAUAUAUAUAUAUAUAUAUAUAUAUAUAUAUUAUAUAUAUAUAUUGUCUUUUGCACCAGAAAUCUUCAGACAUACUAAACACUGUUUGUGCCGCACCUUUUCAUUCUUGGUGAUAACAAAUGGACUGAUCAGUCUGCCAAUUCUAUCACGUUUCACUGCAUGAAAAGAGGAAAAGAGUUUGUCUUAUUCCCUUAUCUAAAUAAGUCACUCCCUUUAUUCUGCCACAUCUGGCACGUGAGCUGAAAUAUAUUUUGUAUUUGUACAGAGGUUAGUCUAUUUUUAUUGUACUGUGUGUUCUGUGUAUUUAUAUAUAAAACGUUGUGUUUUGCACUGUUUCCAGUUAUGAAGGAUAUUGCUUAAAACAAUGACAAUGACUGUGAUGCACUUAAGGAUCAGUAUAGUACACAAGGUGUUCUGUUAAUAAACCAGGAAUGUGCACACCCA